rnacentral:rRNA from 1 species
GAGUUUGAUCCUGGCUCAGGAUGAACGCUAGCGACAGGCUUAACACAUGCAAGUCGAGGGGCAUCACGGGAGGUAGCAAUACAUGGGUGGCGACCGGCGCACGGGUGCGUAACGCGUAUCCAACCUUCCCGAUACUCUUGGAUAGCCUUCCGAAAGGGAGAUUAAUACAAGAUGGUGUUUCACUUUCGCAUGUUAUUGAAACUAAAGAUUUAUCGGUAUCGGAUGGGGAUGCGUGACAUUAGAUAGUAGGCGGGGUAACGGCCCACCUAGUCUACGAUGUCUAGGGGUUCUGAGAGGAAGGUCCCCCACACUGGAACUGAGACACGGUCCAGACUCCUACGGGAGGCAGCAGUGAGGAAUAUUGGUCAAUGGUCGGAAGACUGAACCAGCCAAGUAGCGUGAAGGAUGAAGGUUCUAUGGAUUGUAAACUUCUUUUAUACGGGAAUAAAACCUCCCACGUGUGGGAGCUUGUAUGUACCGUAUGAAUAAGCAUCGGCUAACUCCGUGCCAGCAGCCGCGGUAAUACGGAGGAUGCGAGCGUUAUCCGGAUUUAUUGGGUUUAAAGGGAGCGUAGACGGGAGAUUAAGUCAGUUGUGAAAGGCUGCGGCUCAACCGCAGCACUGCAGUUGAUACUGGUUUCCUUGAGUGCGGUUGAGGUGUAUGGAAUUCGUGGUGUAGCGGUGAAAUGCUUAGAUAUCACGAAGAACUCCGAUUGCGAAGGCAGUACACUAAGCCGUAACUGACGUUGAGGCUCGAAAGCGUGGGGAGCAAACAGGAUUAGAUACCCUGGUAGUCCACGCAGUAAACGAUGGAUGUUAGCUGUUCGGAGCGAAUGAGUUCUGAGUGGCACAGCGAAAGCGUUAAACAUCCCACCUGGGGAGUACGCCGGCAACGGUGAAACUCAAAGGAAUUGACGGGGGCCCGCACAAGCGGAGGAACAUGUGGUUUAAUUCGAUGAUACGCGAGGAACCUUACCCGGGCUCAAACGGCACAGUGAUACUUUUGAAAGGAGGUAGCUCUACGGAGACUGUGCCGAGGUGCUGCAUGGUUGUCGUCAGCUCGUGCCGUGAGGUGUCGGCUUAAGUGCCAUAACGAGCGCAACCCCUAUUGUCAGUUGCCAGCAGGUAAAGCUGGGGACUCUGACGAGACUGCCGGCGCAAGCUGAGAGGAAGGCGGGGAUGACGUCAAAUCAGCACGGCCCUUACGUCCGGGGCGACACACGUGUUACAAUGGCAGGCACAGCGGGAAGCCACCCGGCGACGGGGAGCGGAACCCGAAAGCCUGUCUCAGUUCGGAUCGGAGUCUGCAACUCGACUCCGUGAAGCUGGAUUCGCUAGUAAUCGCGCAUCAGCCAUGGCGCGGUGAAUACGUUCCCGGGCCUUGCACACACCGCCCGU